UUCAAGCUGUUGUGCUUCCUAGCUGUGCUCUCUGUAGCCCUUUGUGAUGGCUAUUAUGGUAGAAAAAGAUAUGGUAAUUACUAUGGAGGCAAAGGACUUGGAAAUUAUUUUGGAGGACUAGGAUAUGGUAAUUUCUACGGAGGCAAGGGAAUUGGUUAUUUUGGAGGAUUAGGAUUUGGUAACUACGGAUAUGGACCUUACUUUGGAGGUAUAGGAUUCGGUAAUUACUAUGGAGGCAAGGGAUAUGGACCUUAUUUUAGAGGACUAGGAUAUGGUAAUUUCUAUGGAGGAAAGGGAAUUGGACCUUAUUUUGGAGGACUAGGAUAUGGUAAUUUCUAUGGUGGAAAGGGAAUCGGUUAUUUUGGAGGUUUAGGAGGUAUCUAUGGUGGUAAAGGAUUCAGGGACUAUUAUUGAAAAUUGGAUUGUUGAUUUCCCAUUGAUGUGAUUACAUUUUGCUGAUAAAAUAAAUGACAAAUACAAAGCAAUUUAA